UACGGAGGGUGCGAGCGUUGUCCGGAAUCACUGGGCGUAAAGGGCGCGUAGGCGGCCUGAUAAGUAGGGGGUGAAAUCCUGCGGCUUAACCGCAGGGCUGCCUUCUAAACUGUCAGGCUAGAGCACGGUAGAGGCAGAUGGAAUUCCCGGUGUAGCGGUGGAAUGCGUAGAGAUCGGGAAGAACAUCAGUGGCGAAGGCGGUCUGCUGGGCCGUUGCUGACGCUGAGGCGCGAAAGCAUGGGGAGCGAACAGG
rnacentral:rRNA from 1 species